rnacentral:lncRNA from 1 species
UUUUAUAUAUAUAUAUUAUUAUUAUAUCUUUUUAUUUCCUUUGCGAUAGCGGCUUAAUCAACCCUUGGGUGACCUCUACGGAGAAACCCGCAGCUGCCGUGCGCCGGCACUUCACCUGGCACAUGCAGCUGGGUGGGCUUAAAAGGGGGGGGGAGAGGGAAAUGACAUUAAAAUAAUAAAUAUAUAUAAAAUAACGAAAUCAGGGAGCUUUUUUGUGAGCCCGGAGACCCCCCGGAAGCAGCAGGUGGCUUGGGCAGGGUGCGCCUGGGCCAGUAGCGAGCGAGGUGUGGCCGUGCCGAUCCCCGAUCCCUCUGCGGCCGCGCGGCGAUGCGCAGCCCGAUCCUUGGACCGGCACGCUUGCACCUCGCUGGAAACCUUCAUGCGGUGCUCGGGGGUGAUCUGGUGCUCGGUGGGGGGGGGGGGGAUUUGGUGUUCUUGGGGGGAUCCAGCAGCCUCGCGGCUCCGUCGCGGUGCCGGGGACGUGGGGUGUUGGCUCCGGCCGCGCCGUGCUGCCUGGCGGAUGCCUCUCGCCGCUGCUGCCGCCGCCUCUUCUUCCACGCCGCCGCUGCUUUCUGUGCUCGUUUCGUAAGCCAGGAGCCGCGCGUCUCCUCGCCGUCGCCCGGUGGUGUUACCUUCCUCCGGUCAACGGGGAGCCCGGCCGCCUCGCGUGCCCUCGGGGUGUCCUGGACCCUAAAAUCCGUAUCCGUCUGCGGGAAAUGAAAGAUGGAACGUACCCAAAUGAGGAAAAUUGAGGCUAGAGCAGUGAAUUGAAUAUGCAAGCACUGUGAACAGAUGUCCUGGAGCUGGCUUCGUUCUGGAGAACUUGUGAGCUGGCAAAAGGGGCAAGCAGAGGCUAGCGGGGACGGCUGCAAGCCUUACAUCUGCAUCUUGAUGUAAAUCAAGUGUAAAUCAGUGACUCGUGUGUCCCUCUCCACUGGCGUAACUGUGAUAUGAAGGCUGGCUUUCUCUUUUCCUAGUGCAUUUUGGGCUAUUGUAGAAA